GCCACACCGUGGGCCCGAGGCCUUAAGGGCUGCCCUGGGAAAAGCUUCCAGUUGCUGGUUCCCCUGCACCCUGCCCUGGUGUUUUGCAGGUCUUACCAUGGCUCCAUCACUUCAAUUAACAUCACUACAUUGAAGGAAGCCUCUGGAAGCCAUCUAUUAUGCUUUCAAUUUUGAAGGAAUGAAAACUGGGAAAAAAGAAAUGGUGAAAAGAGAUAUAUGCUAGAUCCUUGUAGAUUACUUCUAGAAAUAACUGGUAGCCAUAGAACAGGGAGCAGUCAUCUGGAUACUCAAGCAGGCUGAAGAAUAAGACAGACAUUAUUUUGGGGUAUUUUUUUUAAUAUUUUCCAUCAUUGCAUGCACUUGAAAUAAUUUAACCUUUUGUUCUAA